GACCUUUUAUCCACUGAGCUGUGGGGAAACCUCUCCUCCUCAGGCAGGCCUUGAGGCCAGGAUCAGCCCUUGAGGAUUGUGGAUCCUCAUAAGGAUGGCCAUGAGUGGGGAAUGCCAUUUUCCUACCCCAGACAUUC